CAAGUUAGAGCUUGAAAGUUAAGCAUUUUAUUUACACUAAAAAGUUGAUUGUGAGAUUCAAUUUAACUUGA
rnacentral:tRNA from 1 species